rnacentral:rRNA from 1 species
GGGGGCGAUCAUACCAACGUUAAUGCACCGGAUCCCAUCAGAACUCCGCAGUUAAGCGCGUUGAGCCAGAGUAGUACUGGGAUGGUUGACCUCCCGGGAAGUCCUGGUGUUGCACCCU